CAAUAGGUUAGUUUCACAUGAGGGGUUAGGCACACUUUCACCUUUUAGGAUAUUUCCUAAAAAGGGGGUGUUGCUUAUGGAUAUGGAAAGUGUAUUAAAGCUGAUGCUUUCUUUCGGCAUGCUAAUAGCUUUUAUCAUGUCCGACAAAAACCAUAAAAAAUAACCCCUCAUGUGAUUUUGGCAAGUCAGUUGAGGGAUUAUUUAUCUAGUCCUGUGCCUCCCCCUCUUGAUGGGGUUAGCUUAUUGUAACCGUUCCAUGUAGAAGCAUGGGACG
rnacentral:sRNA from 1 species